AUCCCUGGGCCUGGGCCUACCUAGGUGAAGACAGGCAUUUUUGUUUUCCUGCCCGGAUGUUGCAUUUCCCAAGACCACCCUGGCCUGCCAUGCCCUCAUCCUGUGCCUUUAAAAACCCCCGAGACCCUGGCAGGCAGACGCACAAGCAGCUGGACAUUGAGAGGAGCAUAUAGGCAGAGAAUACAGGGGCUGCUGGAUGUCGAAAGGAACGCACCAGCAUAGGAGCACACCGGCAUGCUGGCAGGCCAUUGACCAGCGGAAGAAUGCAGAGUUUGUCGCGGGAGGUCAGAGAAGAGUCAGGCCGCCAUACCUGACUCCAGGAGAAAACCGUCUCCCUUCUGGUUCCCCCGUCUGCCGAGAGCUACUUCCACUCAAUAAAACUUUCCACUCAUUCUUCAAGCCCACGUGUGAUCCAAUUCUUCCCGUACACCAAGUGCUGGUAAUGAUGUAUACCUGGCAGCUGACCGUCAAAUCUUAUGAAGGAUUAAAACAUAAAGUUUGCAUUAAAGGUCAAAACAGUCACAAGCCUGCUCAAAUUCGGAAAGAGGGGACGGAAAUGGAACCUCUUCAUGGGAGGAAGAAACAGGGUCUUGCUCUGUUGCCCUGGCUGGAGUGCAAUGGUAUGAUCAUAGCUCACAGUAGCCUUGAACUCCUGGGCCCAAGCCAUCCUCCUACCUCAGCAACCAGAGUAGCUGGGAUUACAGGCGAAUGCCACCACACCUGGAAUUGGAAAAAUGAAUGUAAUUUGACAUAUGUCUUGAGUCUGGUUGGCUUCUGAGGAACUUGUGUGCAUCUCAUCAGUAUGCAUCUUAAGAACUGAAAUGACCCUACUUCAGCAUUGUGAGAAGACAUGCAUUCUCUUCGUAUAAAUAAUGUGGAUCUUACAUGUAAAGUAUUAUAAAGAUUAGCUGUUUAACAACUUAAAUAAGCUUGUGAAUAAUAAAUUAAUAACAAUGUUAUGCUAAUACGUAACUAUGAUAUUUGCUGAACAAAAUAAAUUUGCCUACUUUGGAAGCAGAUUGGGUGGUUUAAUAUAUCAGCAAAAGAGUGUUUUUAAAAAAUAUCAAAGUUCUGUUAAUCAAAACGUUUAUUGUAGGACAGUUAGUAAUGUUUUGUUUGCCAACUUAUAUUACAAAGUCUCUGUCUUAAGUGUUUCCUUGCAAAUAAAAUGACAAUACUGCCUUACAUUUUAUUACUUUAGAGUUUGCAAAAUAUCUUCAUUAUAAUAUUUCAUUUAGUAGACAUGCCUAUGGGAACAUUACUUCCAGAAUUAAAAACAUUAUUUUUGUUUUGGUAUAUUUUUAAACUACAAAUGAUAGAAAGGCAAGUAAAUGUAAGUUUUUCUCUAGUUAUUUGUUCAAAUGCUAAUUUAAAACAUUUGUACAUUUCUAAUACAAACAUUCCUUAUUUGAGAAAAAAUGGAUUUCUUAAAAACAAAAUGCAUUUUAAAGCAGAGAGACAGGGCAUUGAGCUGAAAAUGGUGGCUGGAAGUUGGGAUCUGUAAGAGAAGUUGAAUGUGCCCCGAGGCAUAAAGCUGCUAAUUUUGUUUUAUUGGAUUUUACUGUAGCUAUUAAUAUAUUUUGCUGGAGAUUUAUGUGAUCAAUUUAUCUUAUGGCCAGAACUAAUUCCCUUAGUAUAUUUUAUUAGAAUAUGUGACUUUUUCUAAAUUUAGCUUUAUUUUUCAUAUUUUCCAUAAAUGGCAAAGAUUCUAUGUUUCCAGACAUGUUAAGUAUUGCAAGAAUUAUUGGAGCACCUAAAGAUAAAUAAUAUCAAAAUAGUGUCAUUGUUUCCCUUAGUUUCUCCUUCUCCCCCACAAAUAAACCAAGAGGUAUUUAGUUAUACUAUUGCAUGUCUCUAGCUUUAUUGGAUUCUUCCAUGAAAGAAAAAUGGAUUACAUUUUUGGUUGUGUGGCCCUCGUUGCCCUAUUGCACUUUUGAUAAUAUUUGCCUGUGACAAGUAGUUAUUUUUCAUUACCACAUUCAAUCAUGGGUAAUAAAAUAUUUUAAUAAUGGUGAAUGUGAAGUUAAUUAAUAACCCGCAGGUAUGGCAGCUAGACAGGAUUGCUCUCCAUCUCAAACACAAGGAAAACAAUUCCAUCGGUAGUUAUAAAUUUGCAUAUGAAUGUCAAAUAUAUGAGGUUUUGAAUAAAAAUCAUUUCUGAGUAAAA
rnacentral:lncRNA from 1 species